AUUGAACGCUGGCGGCAUGCCUUACACAUGCAAGUCGAACGGCAGCACGGGAGCAAUCCUGGUGGCGAGUGGCGAACGGGUGAGUAAUGUAUCGGAACGUACCUUUCAGUGGGGGAUAACGUAGCGAAAGUUACGCUAAUACCGCAUAUUCUGUGAGCAGGAAAGCAGGGGAUCGCAAGACCUUGCGCUGAUUGAGCGGCCGAUAUCAGAUUAGCUAGUUGGUGAGGUAAAGGCUCACCAAGGCGACGAUCUGUAGCGGGUCUGAGAGGAUGAUCCGCCACACUGGAACUGAGACACGGUCCAGACUCCUACGGGAGGCAGCAGUGGGGAAUUUUGGACAAUGGGCGCAACCCUGAUCCAGCCAUGCCGCGUGAGUGAAGAAGGCCUCGGUUGUAAGGACUCUUCUAGGUGGAAGAAAGUACACUACCCGAACUACGGUAGGUGGAGUGACGGUACCGAUACAGAAGAAGACACCGGCUAACC
rnacentral:rRNA from 1 species